rnacentral:rRNA from 1 species
CCAACGCAGUCAGUGCGGGUACACGCUCCCCUAAACGACGGGUUAGAGGCGUACUGGGCUGGCGCAGAGGAGAGUGCAACACCUUCAGGGGUCCGGGGGUCGGGGGUGCCCUGUUUGGGAUCGGAGUGGUUCGGGGUGUCGUGCAUCAGGAGGGAGGAGGAGGUAGGAGCAAUCGUCGGCGGCGGUAAGACGGAGGGAGGAGAGACAGGAUGCUGGUACGACGGCCCUCCUUCGAUAACAAGCACCACGGUAUGGCGUCGGCCCCACGACGUGUUCUCCGGUCCCCGGCGGCGGUGGCGCUCGGUACCCUGCGGGCAGCUACUCGGAAGCCCGUCCUUCGGGCGUAGCUCGUGCGGUAGUUGUUCGGCGGUCCUGCUGGAUGACCGGCCAGGGCGCAGCAGCUCGUUCCCGGGACCAACGUGGCAGCACCUCCUCCGCGUGGUAAUUCCUCAUCGUUACGGCAGCUUGAGGGAGAAGGGAAGACAGACGUGGAAGGGAUACUCGAAAAGAAGGUAAGGGAACGAAACGGAGAGGAGGACGAGUGAGAGGGAAGGCACGAGGAGUCGAAAGAAAGCUAAACGAACACGGACGUCCAGGUACCUGUAACAAUCUUACCAAUUAAAUAAGGUCACAUAAUAAAAGUCUCUAGUACAAACAAAUUCUGAGGUACCGUUAAGAGUUCUUAAAGACAAAAAUCAACGAACCGAUUACACAAUUUCACGUAUACGAGCUCAAACCAGUGAAAACUACUAAAAAAGUCAUACGAUAUUAAACAAGUGAAAACUCUAAGUUAAUAUAAUCGUAUCAGAAGAGGGCCUCGUCGUUUUACCUCCUGUUUUUACAGUCGAGACUACACGCAGUCCGAGUUGCUACGGACGGAGGAACGGGGAGGGAUUUGCUGUACCAGGAGAAGUCAAACGUCCAACGGUGAAGGAGACAAGAGUAACUAAAAGAAGCUUGCCACAUGACUAGGUGUGACUUACACAUACUUUUACAAAAACGACCCCGUAAACACGUGGUUCGUUUACCCAUUCCUUUAACCUCUUGACCCUAGAUUGUAACAAUCAGUUCACAGAUCCACUUGUUAAACACCGGUCGUACCUUUUCUGUAGAGCACUUUUAGAUCCAUACUCUACAGAAAAACGUAGGUCACAAGAACGUAUAAUCAUACAACACCACAACACUUUUUUUGUAUACAGUCAGGACCUCAUGUUUAUUCAAAUGUAAACGAAAAUAAAACCAGUAAAACAAAUACACAAAACAAGUUACGUUAACGAAGAUAUGUAUAGUUCUCAAUCCGAAUCCGAGGUGACCUAUUUUCAAAACCGAGAACAAAGAGUUCAAGAUAUCUGCAAUCUCCUCAUUAAUCGUAAGAGAAAGAAGGCUUACCCACAUACACCUACGUAUGUCUAUCAUCUCCUCGUUAAAGGUAGGAGAUAAAAAAAUGGCUGGUAUACACCUACACGUAUUUAACAAGAAACAAAAAAUUGCUCAUUUACAACUACGUGUAUUUUAACUAUACCACCCAAGGUAAGACAAAAUAUACGUACGGUUAAGUAAUCGAUUAAUUAAGUCGAGGUAACUUCAUUAAUAUCAACAUCGAGUAAGAAUAGUAACAAUUCUCCAUUUACCUUACUUAGUAGUAUGUUGUCGGUGAACUUAUUUAGACAAAUUUACGAAACAAAGAGAGAGUUUGGCAAACGGAAUAGACUUAAUGGUAACUUGGUACCAUAACAAAAUAAUUACAUGGUCAUCUUCGCAGUGAGAUCUUUGAGGAGGUUGUACGACUCUUCUCAACCAAGAGUAGAGUUUCUGCGACUUUAGUUUUAACACCUCCAAGUCUUCCAUUUCGUUAGUGGUAAUGGGUCCCUCCCUACGGCGUAGUUAGUCUACGAUUGGAAGAAGUGUUUGAGUAGUGGCUUUGACAUCUAACUAGUCCAAGUGGACGAGAUGUAUCCAUCUACCUCAAUUCCGUAAAGAGAAGUUUAAUGAUUUGACUUAUUAUCAUUAGAGAUGGACAUCUCUAAUAGAGAUCUAUGACCAGCAUAAAAUUCUAGGACCUACUUUCCAACAAGUUAAGAUAGUUCUAAGAAAUCACUAGAUUAUAAACUCGUGCAUCUUAGACUAACAAAUAAAAGGAAUACAAUAUCAACAUUUUAUGAUUACCCAUCAAAGACUUAUAAAACAAACAUCAGAGGUGAGUACACUUUAACGAGUAAGUUAAUAGAAGAUACAUAUACAACGUCCAAUGUUUGUCAUACCAUAGAAAAGACGAUACCCACGAAACUGUUUAUUUUACGUUACAGCGAAAACUACAACUCUCUUAUAGGUUAACUCGUAGAAAGGCGUUAUUUUUAAUCUGUCCUUCCCAUACUCCCUCCCCACAUAAUUUAGGCAUACUCACCUACAAUUUAGGUACCUACUUCUUUGUUUAUCUUUCCUUCAUUUAGUAUCCUUCUUCUCUAUCCAUCCAAAAUGUUCAUGUUCACUUCCGGUCAACCGACCUCGUUUUGGUUAUACAACGAAGUGGCUCGAUGACUCUUUCCUCUUCUUUUUUCUCUUUCGACUGAGUAAUACAUAAGUCCGGAGAACUGUAAGAGGAGAUUAACCCGGAUUAGGACAAUUCGGAAGUACUCGGUUCAUACCACCUAAGAAUCUACUGUUGAACUAUACAUCAAGAGGAUAAUGUCACGAAGCUAGUCAAUUAUGAGGGAGACAACACUUCAAAUACACUUCACACAAGCACGGUAAUUUCUUAAAUAAUAAAGAUACUUGAAGACCGGGUCUCUAAAUAAAGUAAAACAGGUUGACCAAGACUAGUAUCGUUCGAUGAUGUAUUUUCCAUACUAUAUUAAAACAACUGUCACGAACGACUUUUAUGGCCAGGAGUACAUUAGAUUGACAAUGUGGAGAACUCAGGUUAAUCCUUGAGAAAGUAAUAACCUAGAUUUCUCAAACGAAACCAGUCAAUUAUAAGGGAGGCAAGUAUUUAUGUUCUGUAAAAUCUCUGUUCGACGUAUAAAAUUACUUCGUAGGUGAACGACAUCUUUCGUACAAAAUACCAAGACAUGGUCCAUUUCACAAGUCUCCCGUAUUUAUAUAGUAACACAUAUCCAAUAAUAGUAAAAUUUAUUACUUCGUAGAUGUACUUCGACAUUUUUUCCAACAACCUGCUGGUUCACCUGUAUCACGUUAGAUUUGUAAAUGGAAGUUCUUGAUCUUGGAGGGUAAGAUGUACACUUAAAACACCAAUGUUAAGUUUACGGCUUAGUUGUUUCUUCUUACGUCACCACUGGAAUAAAUAUCAAAGAUUAAUAAACCUCAGAUGUAUAUACGUACUCUUGUGACAGUGUGUGCGCCACAAGUGAUUCUCCGGCUCACUUCUUUAUUAGCAGCCGACUCUGUCAAAUAGAAGUCGAUAGAAAUCAAUAAAAGUCUCAAAAUCUCUCAAAUAGAAGUUGAUAGAAGUCAAUAGAAGCCUCAAGAUUUUGCUCAUAAAGAAGUCAAUAGCAGUCUGAAGACUUUGCUCAUAAACAAGUCAAUAGAAGUCAAUUCGGAACCCACACACACACACACCAGGUAUCAGACACUGAAAGAGGUUUACUCGUCGUAGACAUUCACCGAUAUGUUGGUCGCGUUCUACUUACUUCACCUUUUGCAUAGAGAGAGACAAAGUAAGCAGACAGGGUUCGAGUGGACGAUGAAAAAAUGAGGAUAAUUAACAUAACGAUAUACGACUCAUACGUGUAAGAUAUGAACGUGGUAUACAUGAUUAAGGCUUCGUAAAAUGCAAAUCAAUAUUACAACAUGAUUGUACAAUUCCCUCAACAUACUUGUACAAUUAUAAACUAAUAUUUCUUAUUGAAAACGAAGUAACUUCCUGUCUCUCAUUUUGCUCUGUUUCACACGAAGGGUCAAGGGUUUCAUUAAAAUCCAAGAGAGUUUCAUUUUAGUUAACGAUGUACUAUAAAAGAUUGGAAAAAUUCGUGUCCAUCGUUGGCCUGAGAUCUUAAUUCCGAGAGGUAAGAUUCUGAUUGUUUUGCUAGAAGAAUUGGCUCCUUCUAUUCACGAUGA